rnacentral:rRNA from 1 species
CCUACGGGAGGCAGCAGUUAGGAAUAUUCGUCAAUGGGGGAAACCCUGAACGAGCAAUGCCGCGUGAGUGAUGACGGUCUUUAUGAUUGUAAAACUCUGUUGUUAGGGAAGAAACCUUAUCAUAGGAAAUGAUGAUAAGCUGACGGUACCUUUCCAGAAAGCCCCGGCUAACUACGUGCCAGCAGCCGCGGUAAUACGUAGGGGGCGAGCGUUAUCCGGAUUUAUUGGGCGUAAAGCGUGUGUAGGCGGUUUGUUAAGUAUAAGAUAAAAGCCUGAGGCUCAACCUCAGUUCGUCUUAUAAACUGGCAGGCUUGAGUGUGGUAGAGGCAAGUGGAAUUUCUAGUGUAGCGGUUAAAUGCGUAGAUAUUAGAAGGAACACCAGUGGCGAAGGCGGCUUGCUGGGCCAUUACUGACGCUGAGACACGAAAGCGUGGGGA